AACAAUGUUUUUAUUGGUAAUGCAAUCAAUGACCAUACAUCUUUGAAAAGUAGAAUAUGUGCUCUUAAAUGGAACCGGCUGCUUUUAUCGCCAAAACUUAUGAUUCAUAUGUUGGAGAACUACGUCGAGGGGGUGGGAAAGAAGGCAAAAUCAUAUGCUCAAGUUACUGAUGAAGAAGAAACUUAUGUUUUAUGUUUUAUGUUACACGUAGCAACGCACGGACAUUUCUGCUAGUGUAUGUAUCAAGAGAGAAUAUCUGUACUUUGGAUAUAUUGCAUCGGUUUGAAUACGUGUGUAUAUAGUUCUGGCAGAAUUUAGCGCAUGCCAAAAUAACCACUCGAAGCGGCCCAAUUUAGCAUAGCAAAAUAAAGGUUUACGUGCUGGGCCGGAAGCUGUGACUGUUGGAUGUCCAAGAGGGUCUGGUCCAAUUAGCAAAUGCAGGCCCAAUUAG
rnacentral:lncRNA from 1 species